UCGUUCGGUCGCUUUCAGGCGGGCCGGAGACCGGGUCGCGGGAUCGGGGACCUUCGCGGGCCUCGACUCGCGUCGCCGGCCGACGGCUCGGCGCACUAGCGUCGGACGAGGGCCGCGACCGGCUGGGCGGCGGGCAAACGGCUCCGGGCAAGGUAACCCCGCUUCGGCGGGGGCUACAGGCCCGGUGCGCGCAAGGGUCGCCGCCCGGUCGAGGAGAGAUGCGCGCCGCACCUGCCCCGUUCGCGGGGCCGGGGAAGCCGUUCGAGCAGCGUCGUGUCGCGGUCCGGGACUGUCCUCAGUCCCGGGUCGUCUCGGCGCGGUUCCGAGCGGUCGCUCCCUCGCGAGGUGCCGCGGGUCAGCGGCUGACGCCAGCCACCUUCCCGACCCGUCUUGAAACACGGACCAAGGAGUCUAACAUGUGCGCGAGCCGCGGGGCAGUACGAAACCCGUAAGGCGAAAUGAAGGUGAACGCCGGCGCGGUCCGGCGGAGGUUGGAUCCCGUCCCGUCGGGGCGGGCGCACUACCGGCCGAUCUUCUCCGCCCUGUCGGCGAGGUCGAGCGAGAGCGUGCAAGUCGGGACCCGAAAGAUGGUGAACUAUGCCUGAGGAGGUUGAAGCCAGAGGAAACUCUGGUGGAGGACCGUAGCGAUUCUGACGUGCAAAAUUCUCUGUGAUAAUCAGGCAUUACACGAAAAGAUUGAUUUAGAGCGGUGCUUGUAAGGCAUAUGGAUCAACUAAUAUCCUAAUCUGAACAGAAGGUAGAAUUGGAUUUAGGUCCAUCCAAUGUUGAACUAAACAUUUUCUAUACACACUAAGGAUGUCAUUUCUUUGCAGCCCAGUUUUUUCAAUUGUAUUUAGUCAAUUUUACACCUAUACAUGUUCAAGCAAGUUGCAUGAAUUUCAUUAAAAAUUCUUCAGCUUUACCCAUACCCUACAACACUCUUCUAGCAUAGGCAAAAUGGAUUUUCUGGGAAUGCUUGAUUUUCCUGACAAUAAUUUCGAAGUUUCUGAUGAAGAUGAACAACCAACCACUGAUAGUACACAACAAGAUGAUUUGGGUAAAAAUCAUAAAUUAAAGUUCCAGUAUUGUCUAUAGUGUGAGACUUAUUUUAAACUAUUAAAUUUGUAGUUGUAAAGUGCCAGGAUAUGAUAGGAUAUUCAUUUUAU
rnacentral:ncRNA from 1 species